rnacentral:lncRNA from 1 species
AGUCCCUCAGCAGGUAAUACGUUAUGUGGGGUUGUCAUGAUCUUUGGCUCUAGUUGGUUAAGACUACAAAUAAUAUUUGAGCACCUGCUCUGAUACCACUUGUUGCCCAGUAGAUACAACCCAAGAGGGGGGGUGAAUUGGGUCUUAUAAAACUUUUAAGCUACUUCUAACAUUUUUCAAUUAAUUAUGCUAAGUUGUAUAGUUGCACAGUGGAAUUUAAACUUAGCAAUAGGUUGAUUUAUCGAAUGAGACUUGAUUAAGUAAAUUUAAUAUGCUUGCAACUAAAGGAUGCGCGGAUAAGAGUUAAGCAUGCAAUUUAUCUAGGUAAGUAAGUGAGCAAGAUAGACAAUGACAAAAAGCAUCACAAACAUAACAAACAUAUAGUGGUUCGGUGCACCCCAGCACCUACAUCCACUCCCCAAGACCUCUUGGAAAUUUCACUAUAAUCCUACAGAUUACAGCCGGUUGUUUUACAAGCUCACAACCCAACUUGUUAUUUUACGAGGUCACAACGAACUCGGUCGGUUUUUCCAGGCUCACCGACUAGAACCACCCGAUUGUUUUCACGGGCUCACAAUCC